rnacentral:tRNA from 1 species
GCCCCGGUAGCUCAGCCUGGCCAGAGCAGCGCACUUGUACUGCGCGUGCCGCCGGUUCGAAUCCGGCUUGGGGCUCAA